rnacentral:rRNA from 1 species
CAGUAGCCACGGGAAUACGAAGGGGGCUAGCGUUGCUCGGAAUCACUGGGCGUAAAGGGUGCGUAGGCGGGUUUCUAAGUCAGGGGUGAAAUCCUGGAGCUCAACUCCAGAACUGCCCUUGAUACUAGAAGUCUUGAGUAUGGGAGAGGUGAGUGGAACUGCGAGUGUAGAGGUGAAAUUCGUAGAUAUUCGCAAGAACACCAGUGGCGAAGGCGGCUCACUGGCCCAUAACUGACGCUGAGGCACGAAAGCGUGGGGAGCAAACAGGAUUAGAUACCCCAGUAGUCCCUGUCUCUUAUAC